GGGCUAAUAGUUUAUUCAAAACUGUAGACUGUAAAUCUACCAAAGGAACCCCCUUAGCCUA
rnacentral:tRNA from 1 species